AUAUUAUUUUAGGUUUCAGGUGUUCUUUACAAAGGAAGAAUAGGGAACCGGGUGCAAUUCCCGGACGGACCCGCCACUGUGAAGGGGAGCCAGUGCCAUAAACCACUCCGUUAUGGGGGAAGGGGCAUUAAAGGUGAUGAACCUAAGUCAGGAGACCUGCCUGAAAUUAUUCUAUGCU
rnacentral:ncRNA from 2 species